rnacentral:miRNA from 7 species
CUAUACAACCUACUGCCUUCCC